rnacentral:lncRNA from 1 species
AAAAAAAGGAUUGCAAAAACAUCACUUUGAUCUAGGAAAAGUACUCUUUCACGAGAGAAGAGGUGAAGCUGAUCGGGAAAAGAGAGGCUUUUGAGAGAACUGUCAAGACAGACUGAAAAAUCAGGAAGACUGAUUGGUCAUACCCCUAAGUUAUAUCACAGUGCUCUCAACAGACCAGAGGGAGCAACAAGAAACUGAAAGAGGAAAUUUGCCUUUAUUGUAAAAAGCUUAUAGCUAUGAAACCAAGAGUUGGUAUGAAACAAAACAACUGAGGGACUAUCACCACGAUAUAAGUUAUCUCAACUCACCACCAUCAUCGAGAUGAGUGAGAUCUACUCUUGACCAAUACAGCCCAUUAAGAAGAGCUUCCAGGACAUCCAGUGCUACCAGUGGUCUGAGGUGUUAGAGUAAGCAAUCAGUUUUGACAUAUCCAGUGGCCUGCUGCUAAGACCUAAGCCCCCUAAUGUCCAUACAGCUUGGUUA